GGGGGGGGGGGGGGGGGGGGGGGGGGGGGGGGGGGGGGCGGGGGGGGGAGGGGGGCGUGCGUCUGUGAAGCUGAGGGGCGGCCGGGGGAGUGACGCGUGAUCAACCUGCCCUGCGGAGGGGGGCAACAGUUGGGAGCGGCUGCUAAUACCGCAUACGAUCCCAGCUCGGCAUCGAGGGUGGAUGACAGGUGGCCUCUAUUUAUAAGCUAGCACUGAAGGAGGGGAGUGCGUCUGAGUAGCGAGUUGGAGGGGUACCGGCCCACUAAGGCGAUGAUCAGUAGCCGGUCUGAGAGGAUGAACGGCCACAUUGGGACUGAGACACGGCCCAGACUCCUACGGGAGGCAGCAGUGGGGAAUCUUCCGCAAUGGACGAAAGUCUGACGGAGCAACGCCGCGUGAGUGAUGACGGCCUUCGGGUUGUAAAGCUCUGUUAAUCGGGACGAAAGGUCCUCUUGCGAAUAGUUAGAGGAAUUGACGGUACCGGAAUAGAAAGCCACGGCUAACUACGUG
rnacentral:rRNA from 1 species